rnacentral:rRNA from 1 species
UAAUGGGCGUCGAGCGGCGGACGGGUGAGUAAUGCCUAGGAAAUUGCCUUGAUGUGGGGGAUAACCAUUGGAAACGAUGGCUAAUACCGCAUAAUGCCUACGGGCCAAAGAGGGGGACCUUCGGGCCUCUCGCGUCAAGAUAUGCCUAGGUGGGAUUAGCUAGUUGGUGAGGUAAUGGCUCACCAAGGCGACGAUCCCUAGCUGGUCUGAGAGGAUGAUCAGCCACACUGGAACUGAGACACGGUCCAGACUCCUACGGGAGGCAGCAGUGGGGAAUAUUGCACAAUGGGCGAAAGCCUGAUGCAGCCAUGCCGCGUGUAUGAAGAAGGCCUUCGGGUUGUAAAGUACUUUCAGUUGUGAGGAAGGGGGU